CUUUUCUUGACUUCUCAUAUGGGGUAUUUCACUACUUUUUUUUUCCUGCUUAGGAAAGUAUGGGGAACUUAGUUGAAUUUGUUCUUAGCUCUCAGUUUCACAUCUUUGCUGUACAGUACCUGUCUGUUCCAAUAUGCUUGAUUAUGCACUGCAUUUUUAUCACGAUCUCGUCUGUGUGCGAGACGUAGUGGAGGAGUGCACUGGAGUGCCCUUUACGUGGUGGGGUGAUGUUCCGUUCUGUUCAUUAUGUUGUUCUCUGGAAGCCACAGUGAGUCUGACAUUUUCCUUCCCUUUUUUUGGUCUCCCAAGACUUCAUGAAGCUCCUGUAACUUCUUCAGUGCAUUUGGGAUCAAACUUAGCUCUUGAGGAAACUUGACUUGCUCCUUCCUUUGCAGUUUUUCAGUCCUGCACCAAAUCUCUCAGGUUGGAUUUUCCGCCUAACGGGGACAUUUUGCAGAUUAGAAACUGAAUCACUUUUCGUAGCCCGCUGCUGCAAAUUCCCUAUGUUAAUUUAAGAAGUUGAGCCUGUACUUUUAACCCACAUAUAACAAUCACAGAUUUAUUUUGCAGCUGAUGCACGUAAUCAGUCUGCUUUGCCUCUAACUUGUUUAAGGGUAUUUAUAGCAGGCUCCCUCCCGGUAGGUGAUGGACAGGUGACAUUGGAGAACACGUAUGCUGUGGGGCCCUGAGCACCCAGGCUGGCUCUGGCGGAGGUCUAGUGGGCGGUUACCACUGAGGGCCGGCCAGUGUAUCCCCUGAGCCCUGCCCUCCUCCCUCUGCUGGGGACUUCUUGGCAGAACCAGCCAGGAAACAGCCUGAGUUGGGGAGUGGCACUCUGAAUGAUCUGUGUUAUCAGUAGGGAGUGGUGGCCAACACCCAGGAGGAAAACAUUGGUUUGUUGUUUGUAGAUUUGGCACCUUUAAAAAAAUAUUUCUGGGGGCUGGGGAUUUAGCUCAGUGGCUCCGGUGCCUGCCUCACAAGUGCAAGGACCCAAGUUUGAUCCCUGGUACCAAAAAAAAAAAAAAAGAAAAAAAUUCUCUAUAAUUUUCCAGAAUGACUUGAGAGCAUUUCUUGGGCCUUUGAUUCAUGAACAAGUUCCGUUCAUUAACAUUCAACCUGGUACACUUACUUGUUGAAACUUUCAACGUGACCUACCUUUGGAUAAGUCUCAGGAACUUGAUUUGCCAUGAAUCAGGGCCAGUCACAGUUCCUCAGCAGCAGCCCUUCCCAACCCAGCUCUGUGAGUGGACCGAUACCCAUGGAGUCGUUGGCCUGUGGCAUUUGCAGUAGCGGCAGUGAGGGCAGUGUGAUGCUGAGAUGUCCCGUGCGUAAGUCAAGCAAGGGAGGGUGCCCGGGCGAGUGGGUUCAGGACAGCUUGGGGCUGGAGCACAGUCUGCAGGUCCCGCGGGGAGAAUGUGCCUGGCCUCCCUCAACCCAGACCGCAUCCCAGUGCCUGUUCAGGCCUUGGUGACACGGCCAGGGCACUCUGAGGGCCUUUCAGGCUGUAGCAGUGUUUGGCACUGAAGAGAUUAGAGAAGCUUGAGCCUUCCCCUGCCGCCUCCUUUCUGUGGCAGAGAGUCCUUUUUUUCUAUUUAACACACUGCAGUCACCACAAUCAGGAAAAAUCAUCCUGUUCAUGGUUUAUACUAAAUUUGCAAACUACUGAUACUAUUUUUCAACAACCACUUGUAUCUACCAUCAACCAUGAGAGGUGGGAAGAGUUAUGCUGUAUCUCUGCAAUAAAACUUUUGCCAGGUUCUACCUCCUCGAGCAAAGGCUGUUUUCUACAUAGGUGUAGACCUUCCUCCCUGACUACCCUGACUGGUGCGUCUCAACAUCGUCCGGUGGAACCCAAAGACCAUCCAAAGCAGAGUGGCCACAGACUCUCGGGGUGUUGUGUUCCCUGCUCUUCAGCCUCCCUCUCGCAUCGCCGCUCUGUCAGGAGUGUCUUCUGCGUCCUCUGCCGCACUGCUGCCUUCCUCUGCCGUCCGAGCAGCGUGAGCGCUGGAGCGAGUGUCCUGCCCUUUUGAUACGGAACUUUCCUGAGUACUGGUCUCAUGCAAUAACAGCGUGUGCGGGCUGCAUCCAGCAGGGUUCACUCUUGCAAGGAAAAACCAUCACCCAUGAAGCGUAACAAGUUCUGUAUUUAGGUUUCCAUUGUGGUUUUCAUUUUUUGUUUGGGGUCUU
ensembl:lncRNA